GCGAUGAAGGGCGUGCUAAUCUGCGAUAAGCGCCGGUAAGGUGAUAUGAACCGUUAUAACCGGCGAUACCCGAAUGGGGAAACCCAGUGUGACUCGUCACACUAUCAUUAACUGAAUCCAUAGGUUAAUGAGGCGAACCGGGGGAACUGAAACAUCUAAGUACCCCGAGGAAAAGAAAUCAACCGAGAUUCCCCCAGUAGCGGCGAGCGAACGGGGAGGAGCCCAGAGCCUGAAUCAGCAUGUGUGUUAGUGGAAGCGUCUGGAAAGGCGCGCGAUACAGGGUGACAGCCCCGUACACAAAAGCGCAUGUGCUGUGAGCUCGAUGAGUAGGGCGGGACACGUGGUAUCCUGUCUGAAUAUGGGGGGACCAUCCUCCAAGGCUAAAUACUCCUGACUGACCGAUAGUGAACCAGUACCGUGAGGGAAAGGCGAAAAGAACCCCGGCGAGGGGAGUGAAAAAGAACCUGAAACCGU
rnacentral:rRNA from 1 species